rnacentral:rRNA from 1 species
UACGUAGGCAGCAAGCGUUGUUCGGAGUUACUGGGCGUAAAGGGUGCGUAGGCGGGCUUUUAAGUCAGUGGUGAAAUCUCCGAGCUCAACUCGGAAAUUGCCAUUGAUACUAUUAGUCUUGAAUUAAGUUGAGGUGGGCGGAAUGUGUCAUGUAGCGGUGAAUGCUUAGAUAUGACACAGAACACCGAUUGCGAAGGCAGCUCGCUAAACUUAUAUUGACGCUGAGGCACGAAAGCGUGGGGAUCAAACAGG